rnacentral:lncRNA from 1 species
UGGCUCAAUUAUUUGUUGUGUUUUAUUUUCACUUAUUUUUAGCAAGCAAAACACACUGAAAAAAAAUAAUAUUCAUUUGGGCCAUAGGAACAUUCAUAUUUGAUAACAUUACUGCCAGUUUAAUAGGAAUGUGCAUUAGGAUUCUGCAGAAUUCUGAAUACCUUGAUAUUAGGUAAACCAAAGACAUUCAUAUAUCUCUGAAUGUGUGUAUAUAACGUGCACAUAUAAUAACAAUAUUAAGUGCCUAUAUUUUUCUACAGACAUUUUAUUUUGCCUGAGGAAUCUACUUAUUUGUGUUAUUCUACUUAAUAUUUUACUAUAUACAGAGGAGAAAUGACAUUUUAUCAUCAUGCAUUUAUUUUCUUAUUAGUCAUCUUUAAGUAAAAUAUUCAAUGACAAUAUAUUCAAAUUGUUUUUAAAAGUUUAUAGUUACUAUCAUUGUAUAAUUACAGUCUGGAGGUAUAAAAUCUUGCAUAAAGUAAAUAAUCUGUUUUAAAAAUAGACCUUGAUUACUCCAGUAACUGACUUUUUCAUUUUGCAGUCUGAAUAUCAAACAUAUUGCAGUCUGAAUUUAAAAAUUUUUAUAGUACUAUGCUACUAAAACAGUAUUAUUAUUUUGCAACAAGAGGCAUAUUUUCAUUGGAUCCCUUUUGAGUGUUUGUUCCUUUUCAUAUUUAGAUAAUUUAGGAACAUUUGAGGAAAAUUAUUUAAGAUGUCAGCAUUUUCUGGAUCUUAGAAGUUAAGCGGUCGGCAUUUUGACUUAUUCCUGACAAGUAAAAAGUUGUUUUCUCUCCAGCGAACUUCUCACAGAAACUAUUCAGCUUAUGACCGAAGUUGUGGUCCAUGUGCAAUGGUGGCAGUUUUAGAAACCUACCUCAGAAGAAAAUGGACAGAAACGGUUUCGACCCACAUUAGAAACUUCGCUGAAGGACAAUGAAGGCAAGCCUCUCUGUAUCACUUACAGAAAUACUAUUUUUGGUGUCAAAGGAGCUGUGUAUGCGUUCACCUGAGGUGUUGGCUAGGCAUUGCCAUGCAUGAGGAAAACCACACUGUUCUUGCAGAUUCUAGGGGGAAAAUUAAAAUGCCAUGAAAUGUAAAGAGCUUGAAGAAUAUGUGUUGCAGCUUCAUUUGACAAGGGAGAUUUGUCAAGCCAUCAGCUCAUACUGAUUAACCUAAUGACCACACAGUAUCCC